rnacentral:lncRNA from 1 species
AACUUGAAUCUCUAAUUAUAUUAAAGCAUAAAUCUGAAUAUUGAAACUGAAUAAAAGUACUGUAUUAAAACUUACAAAUACUAGUGAAACUAGUACAGGUACACAGGAACGAAGGAAAUCAAAGACAAACUGAUUGAAACUGGAACUGGAAGUGUAAGCAGCAACACCACACCUUUUUGCUCCGUAAACUAAAACACUUAACAACUAAAUUUUAAACUGAAUUUUUCUCUUAAAAAUCUAAGUCUGCGUAGAAAAAGUUGGAAAAACACUGACUAGUGUUCUCUAUUUAUAGGCUUUAUGAGAUAAAAAUAUCUCCUUCGAAUUCGUUGUUCCGUUAUAAGAAACGUGCGUCCCAAUCGUAGUUACUUUCACCGAAAUCUGAGGAGCAGUUGAGGAUAAAGCGGUGUGAAACGUGCCCGUGAAAAUAGGAAACAAACACUACGUGGCGGGUGCCAUAAAGCACAUGGCGGGCGCCAUGUAUACAAAGUCUGUGGCAGGUGCCACAAGGCACAUGGCCGGCGCCAUGGCUUGUUGUGUGGCGAGUGCCACAAGCAUGCCCAACGCCAUGUGUUUGUUUGCACCACAUGUGCAUGGCACAUGCCUUGUGCAUGUGGGCUUGGCUUGUUCGUCCAAUUUCUUUUGGGCCUCUCUUCCAUCUGAUCCAAUGUCUUUUUUAUCCACUUUGACAUUAAUUUUGUGACCCUUUUUUUAUUUCGAGAAGUUCCGG